UCUCCGUUGGUGAACCAGCGGAGGGAUCAUUGUUGGGAGGUUUCCUCUGGAAGCUUGCCUGGCUACAAACAAAUUGUGAACCAUAUCGUUGCCUCGGUGGCGGUCCUGGUGGUAGACGUACCGCCUAGACCUGCUGCCGGCGGCCCCAAACCUCUUGUCAUCUUGUGUCAUUCUGAGUGCCCCUAGGGGCAAAAAGCCAGUACAACUUUUAGCAACGGAUCUCUUGGCUCUGGCAUCGAUGAAGAACGCAGC
rnacentral:misc_RNA from 1 species